UUCAAACCUCGUAGGUAUAUUUUUAUUUAGCUGAUAUUAUACUCAAGUAACUAUUGGUUUCGUACAGGCAGAGCCAUCUAUCGGCAGGAUUGUAUUGAUAACCCAGUUUGCUGUUAGCUAGAAUGACAAAAGAUGGCGUGUCGAUCGUCGUUAAUUUAUUUCCUUCCAAAAUCCCUUUUGAAUUUUCAUUUAUUAAAAAUAAAACUCAAUUUAUUAUUGUAUUGUUAGUUUUCGUUCCUUUUUGGAAAUAUUUUAUUACCCUCUUUAAGACAGAAGUUAAAGUUGUUGUCUAUAGGCGAAUGCAUCUCGUCACGUAUCUGUGGGCCGAGCUGUCAGCCGACACUUUGCAUAUUGGAAAGGAUGUAGACGGGUGGUUUUCAAAUUCUUCAGGGCCAAUGCGCCACAUUCUAAUUUUUAAAUCGCGAAUUAAUCGCAUAAUCGUAAGUAUUUUCUUCCAUAUUCGAAUGCAGUUUGUUGUGUUACGUUCAGUGCUAAUUCUUGUGUCCAUUAUUUUCAGAUGAUUUUAUUUUUAUAAAAUUACUGAGGACCCCUUCCAUUGACAUGAUUGCACGGAACCACAAGCCGGCUUCUUUUCUGGAAUGGGUCCUCAGAUUUGGAGGUUAACGUUCGAAGACAGAGCAGAGCUGAUGCUUCCCGAGCCUGGACCGGUGGACAGGAGGCUGUGGCGAUCGGUAUGGAAGAGCUCCCAUUCCGUGGCUGCAGCGGCCACCUCUCCUCAAUUCGGUUAGACGUCCCCCAAGGUCAGAGCGUUCCUCGUUUAUUUUUUAAAAAAGGCGCCCAACAUAAAUUAAUUUUUUAAUUAAUAAUUUACCUUUUACCCGGUCUUCCAGUACCAGAACUACUGACUCACCCCUAUGCUCUAAAUUUUAGGUAUUUGUUUUUUUUUAAGUAAAUAGACUGAGCUAGCGAUAUAAUUUAUAAUAAGGGUAGUUUCAUUGCCUACCAGUUAGGCGUUACUAAGUAGUGUAUUAUUACGUUCGAAAUUGUUUUCAGAAAGAAAGUUAAUUAAAAAGUUAUUUUCUAUAUAAAUACUUAGUUUACUUUAUUUACCCUUAGGUAAUCCCCAAAAUUGUAACAGUGGCAGCCCUACGUGUGGCUUUAGAGAGUUCAGACUGGAAGACCGUUAGUUGCUUACCUAUUUAAUAAUUUUCUUAAACAUAGUAUUAGAGAUUAUUUACAUACCUACCUAAGAUUGUUGGCAAAAUCAAUGUUAAACAUUACUUUAAAUAACAAAUUCCUUACUAAAAAUAAAGGAAAGGUUUCCGUAUUUACUUUCGUUCCGUACUUUCUUUGUGUGUUAAAUGUAUAGUACCAUAUAGAUAAUUAUUACCUCUUGUUAGUUGGUGGGUACCAAAUCUGGUUAUUUUUAUUCAUUGCCAACAGUACUAUAUAUACCUACAAAACCAUUUUGUCUCUUUAUUUUAGUGAAAAGCAAGAAGUUAUGCUUGUAUUUAAUUCUAAAUAGUACCACACGCUUGGUACCUACUGCAUUUUGUAAUUCGUAAAUGAGGAUUUUUUUUUUACAUUUUGAUGUGAAAGGUGUGAUUAGCAAAUUAAAUUUAUUUUACAUUGUAUUUAACUAGACUACAUACUCUUUUUCUAGAAGGUGAUUAAUUUUAAUUGUUCAUAGUUCUUACCUAAUGAUAAUAGUUGAAGUAAUUUAAAGUACCUACAGCCAGUCGUAAGAAUUGGUGUCUUGUUUUCUAAAUUACCUAUUUUAUUCUUCCUACCUUAACGAUAUUGAAGUUUGAUGUUGUAAAUUUAGUACAAAUAUUUAUGUAGGUAUUUUAAUUGAGUUUUACUACAGAAAGUUAAACAUGUAAAGAGCAUACAGGGUGAUUCUAAAAAAUGUUAAAAAUAAUAAUUUAACCUAACUUUUAUAUUUAAAUAAUUGGGUGAUCGUUUGGACCUUUUAUUGUUUAAAUUAGUCCAGCGUGCACAUUUAAUAUUAUUCGUGGGUUUCCUUUGUGGUUGAGAAUACUUUAGAAUAAAUAUUUUGUUGUGAAAGUGAUCGUGAUCUAAGUUGUUUACGAGGCGUUAUCUUUAUUACCUACUUUCCGGUGGGUUAGAUUUAACACAAGUUUUUCCAUAUUGUUGUUACGUUAAGGAGUAGGUAUUCAUUUAUUAGCAGUUAUCGGUGAUAGGUAGUUUUUUUGUUUUGAUGUAUAGUAGGCGUUUUCUUUAUGUGUUUGAAGUGGGAGUUAAGUACAUUGUGUCCGGAUGGUACUAAUACGUCCGUACACAAGUAUUACCUUUUCGAUGUUUGGUGGUGAGUGGACGAUUUAAAAGUUCUCUUCACGUAGUUUUCUGGGUGCUGGCGUUUUAAACCAGCAUUUCAGCUUCACUGGCUGGUCGGAUUCUUGCGGAUUUAAACGGAGAAUUCUUAAUAGCAGUGUUGUACCCUUGUUGAUGCUUUGCGAUAUGACUUAAAUCAUAUGCGUGAACGUUGGCGUUCUUUUGUGUUGUCGGACCGACAGACUUGCGUCGCCUGAGACGCGGUCUGUACAGUCAACCCUUGUACUUAUGUCUAAUGUUGUGUCGAAACGUUCCGUCUUGUGUCGUACAUAGACGCAGCCGGUAUAUACGCUUCGUUGUUCUGGUGUUAUUGUCUGUUCUUUGUAUUCUUAGCUGUCACCGAUAUUUGUUAGGGAAAUUUCAUUUAGCUAUAAGCCGUCUUCCGUUAUAUCGCUUGGACGUACAGCCCGCUGUCUGGUAUAGCUCGCUGUGCCGCCAAGAAAUAUAGACGAUGCGACGUAAUGUAGUAAUUUACCUAAAAAAAAAAAGGGGCUAUUCUUAUCUGGUUUAGUGCGUGGGUUCGAUUUGGAUGGUUUUUUUGUUAUCGAUUAUAGAUUUCGAGUUGUAGCUGUUAUAUUACCCAUAUUUCCUGUAGUUUGGAGCUGGGGACCAGCUCAAAAUUUUGCCUGCGUCAAAAUUUUCUCUGGGGAGGGGAGUACUGUAACAAUAUUUUUUCAAACCUCGUAGGUAUAUUUUUAUUUAGCUGAUAUUAUACUCAAGUAACUAUUGGUUUCGUACAGGCAGAGCCAUCUAUCGGCAGGAUUGUAUUGAUAACCCAGUUUGCUGUUAGCUAGAAUGACAAAAGAUGGCGUGUCGAUCGUCGUUAAUUUAUUUCCUUCCAAAAUCCCUUUUGAAUUUUCAUUUAUUAAAAAUAAAACUCAAUUUAUUAUUGUAUUGUUAGUUUUCGUUCCUUUUUGGAAAUAUUUUAUUACCCUCUUUAAGACAGAAGUUAAAGUUGUUGUCUAUAGGCGAAUGCAUCUCGUCACGUAUCUGUGGGCCGAGCUGUCAGCCGACACUUUGCAUAUUGGAAAGGAUGUAGACGGGUGGUUUUCAAAUUCUUCAGGGCCAAUGCGCCACAUUCUAAUUUUUAAAUCGCGAAUUAAUCGCAUAAUCGUAAGUAUUUUCUUCCAUAUUCGAAUGCAGUUUGUUGUGUUACGUUCAGUGCUAAUUCUUGUGUCCAUUAUUUUCAGAUGAUUUUAUUUUUAUAAAAUUACUGAGGACCCCUUCCAUUGACAUGAUUGCACGGAACCACAAGCCGGCUUCUUUUCUGGAAUGGGUACGUUUCACAUUCGUUCGAGUAAUAUUUUAACCCUCGCUAAGGGUUGGUGGAAGCCUCAGGGUCAUUGUUUUUUUUUAAACCUAUUUCAGGUCCUCAGAUUUGGAGGUUAACGUUCGAAGACAGAGCAGAGCUGAUGCUUCCCGAGCCUGGACCGGUGGACAGGAGGCUGUG
rnacentral:lncRNA from 1 species